CAACCCUUAAGCUUAAGCCUAGCUUAGUGUUGGGAGUCUACUGGUGGUAAUUCGUUACCUUGUAGUUCCUAAAAUGAAACGGCGGAUCUGCAGUAUCCUCUGAGCGUAGUAAAUUUUUAUCUCGCUUUUGUUUAGGUGCUGUGGCUCUUGCCGCUAAACCCCCAAUUUUCAAU
rnacentral:misc_RNA from 1 species